rnacentral:rRNA from 1 species
AUUGAACGCUGGCGGCAUGCUUUACACAUGCAAGUCGAACGGUAACAGGUUAAGCUGACGAGUGGCGAACGGGUGAGUAAUGCAUCGGAACGUGCCCGAUCGUGGGGGAUAACGCAGCGAAAGCUGCGCUAAUACCGCAUACGAUCUGAGGAUGAAAGCGGGGGACCGCAAGGCCUCGCGCGAUCGGAGCGGCCGAUGUCAGAUUAGGUAGUUGGUGGGGUAAAGGCUCACCAAGCCAACGAUCUGUAGCUGGUCUGAGAGGACGACCAGCCACACUGGGACUGGGACACGGCCCAGACUCCUGCGGGAGGCAGCAGUGGGGAAUUGUGGACAAUGGGCGAAAGCCUGAUCCAGCAAGGCCGCGUGCAGGAAGAAGGCCUUCGGGUUGUAAACUGCUUUUGUACGGAGCGAAAAGGCCCUCUCUAAUACAGUGGGCUCAUGACGGUACCGUAAGAAUAAGCACCGGCUAACUACGUGCCAGCAGCCGCCGCAG